UACGGAAGGGGCGAGCGUUGUUCGGAAUCAUUGGGCGUAAAGGGCGCGUAGGUGGUUCUGUAUGUCUACCGUGAAAGCGUACGGCUCAACCGUAUUUUGUCGGUAGAAACUGCAGGACUUGAGGCUGGGAGGGGCUGGUGGAAUUUCCGGUGUAGCGGUGAAAUGCGUAGAUAUCGGGAGGAACACCUGUGGCGAAGGCGGCUUCUGGGCCCUACCUGACGCUGAGACGCGAAAGCGUGGGGGAGCGAACCGGG
rnacentral:rRNA from 1 species